rnacentral:rRNA from 1 species
CCUACGGGGUGCAGCAGUGAGGAAUAUUGGUCAAUGGGCGGGAGCCUGAACCAGCAAAGCCGCGUGAGGGAAGAAGGUACAGCGUAUCGUAAACCUCUUUUGUCAGGGAACAAAGGCGGGGACUAGUCCCCGGAUGAGGGUACCUGAAGAAACAGCAUCGGCUAACUCCGUGCCAGCAGCCGCGGUAAUACGGAGGAUGCGAGCGUUAUCCGGAUUUAUUGGGUUUAAAGGGUGCGCAGGCGGCCUGUUAAGUCAGCGGUAACAGCCCGGGGCUCAACGCCGGCGAGCCGUUGAAACUGGGAGGCUGGAGUGGGAGAGAGGUGCGCGGAAUGCGCGGUGUAGCGGUGAAAUGCGUAGAUAUCGCGCAGAACCCCGGGUGCGAAGGCAGCGUACCGGCUCCACACUGACGCUGAGGCACGAAAGCGUGGGUAUCGAACAGGAUUAGAUACCCGAGUAGUC